rnacentral:rRNA from 1 species
GACGAACGCUGGCGGCGCGCCUAACACAUGCAAGUCGAACGGAGCUGAGGGAAGCUUGCUUCUCUUAGCUUAGUGGCGAACGGGUGAGUAACGCGUGAGUAACCUGCCCUGGAGUGGGGGACAACAGCUGGAAACGACUGCUAAUACCGCAUAAGCCCACGAUCCGGCAUCGGCUUGAGGGAAAAGGAUUUAUUCGCUUCAGGAUGGACUCGCGUCCACUUAGCUAGUUGGUGAGGUAACGGCCCACCAAGCAGACGAUUGGUAGCCGGACUGAGAGGUUGAGCGGCCACAUUGGGGCUGAGACACGGCCCGGACUCCUACGGGAGGCAGCAGUGGGGGAUAUUGCACAAUGGGGUGAACCCUGAUGCAGCGACGCCGCGUGGAGGAAGAAGGUAUUCGGAUUGUAAACUCCUGUCGUUAGGGACGAUAAUGACGGUACCUAACAAGAAAGCACCGGCUAACUACGUG